rnacentral:lncRNA from 1 species
GUCCUUGAUAGUGUUCCGACCCCUGGCGCGCUUCCCGAGGAUGUUGGAGUGAGACUUGGCACCAAAAUCCCAAAAUUGGAAUUUAUGGUCAGCUCUCGGGUAGCCUGCAGCAGGGCUUGUACCGGAACAAGACUGGUCUUGUACCGGUACAAGGGUUGAUGGUUGUACCGGUACAGCCAUCGGGCUUGUACCGGUACAGAGCCGCAGACCGCGCGACCCGAGCCUCGGGUUUGCAUUUUCGUCGGCCUUGUACCGGUACAAGAACCCGUGUACCGGUACAAGGAGGCAGAUUUCGUGCAGAAUGAAACUGCAGGGGGUUUUGUGCGUUUGUAGCCUU